UAUUGGGCAAUGGGCGCAAGCCUGACCCAGCAACGCCGCGUGAAGGAAGAAGGCUUUCGGGUUGUAAACUUCUUUUCUCAGGGACGAAGCAAGUGACGGUACCUGCGGAAUAAGCCACGGCUAACUACGUGCCAGCAGCCGCGGUAAUACGUAGGUGGCAAGCGUUAUCCGGCUUUAAUGGGUGUAAAGGGCGUGCAGCCGGAGAGACAAGUCAGAUGUGAAAUCCACGGGCUCAACCCGUGAACUGCAUUUGAAACUGUUUCCCUUGAGUGUCGGAGAGGUAAUCGGAAUUCCUUGUGUAGCGGUGAAAUGCGUAGAUAUAAGGAAGAACACCAGUGGCGAAGGCGGAUUACUGGACGAUAACUGACGGUGAGGCGCGAAAGCGUGGGGAGCAAACAGG
rnacentral:rRNA from 1 species